UACCCCACUAAUUUCAUUAUUAUAAUUACGAAUAGUCCAAAACACCCAUUUAGAAUCUAUCGAAAAGUAUUUUAUGAAAUAAAAAGCUCUAGUACUCAAAACGACCAAAUGAGUCGUUACAGGCUCAAAUGUCUAGUGUGCAAAUAAGAGAUACAUUUAGCACCAUCUCCUCUACAUAGAAAUGUAAUGUAAUGUGCAAGUAGAUGUUGCCUACUUUUGAAAAAAGUGCAUUUGAUGUCUAGGAUAAGAUAACGGGUUUCUUACAAAAUAUUGUAUAUCCGAUAAAAAAGAACCAUCUAAUCUAAAUUAGUCUUUUAUUUAGAUUUUUCAGGUUGAUGUUGCUGAAUCGUCAUGCCUCUAGCCUAACUUUUGUCUUUGUAUAUCAGAUGUAUAUCAUAUGUAUAGUGGAUGUAUAUCAGCUCUUUUACACCAUUGCUUUUGCCGUUCGAGACCUCUAUUUCAACUUCCAUUUCGCGUAUAUCAGCUUCAUUUUGACCU
rnacentral:lncRNA from 1 species